rnacentral:rRNA from 1 species
GAUGAACGCUGGCGGCGUGCCUAAUACAUGCAAGUCGAACGCUGGAAAUCUAGCUUGCUAGAUUGAAGGAGUGGCGAACGGGUGAGUAAUACAUAAGCAACCUACCCACGAAGACUGGGAUAAUCUCUGGAAACGGGGACUAAUACCGGAUAGGUAAUCGGAAGGCAUCUUCUGAUUAUUAAAGGUUAAAAACACUGGUGGAUGGGCUUAUGGCGCAUUAGUUAGUUGGUGAGGUAACGGCCCACCAAGACGAUGAUGCGUAGCCGGCCUGAGAGGGUGAACGGCCACAUUGGGACUGAGACACGGCCCAGACUCCUACGGGAGGCAGCAGUAGGGAAUUUUCGGCAAUGGGGGAAACCCUGACCGAGCAACGCCGCGUGAGUGAUGGCGGCCUUCGGGUUGUAAAGCUCUGUUGUAAGGGAAGAACGGUAGAUAGAGAAUAUCUAAAUGACGGUACCUUACCAGAAAGCCACGGCUAACUACGUG